UAGCCGUGUUUCGAGUUCCUCCGGAACACCCGGGAUUUUUCGUAUUUAGCCACGCCGGUCACGUGAUAUGAGCAAAAUGUUCCACAGGGGUACUUCCGGUUAAUUUUGUUUACACUGGUAACAAAAUUGUUUUUGACAAAAUAUAGAUUUUGCGGCACAAACUGUCGCAAAUCAGAUAAAGGAUAGCAAGGGAUAUAUAUUUACUUGGGAAGAUGUCAAAGUUUGCCUUUUCCCAAACCCGGGAAAAGCGUUCACGCAGAGGAAACGGUGGCGUCAUUUGUGUAGAAAACCACGAGCAGCCGAAAUUGAGUGCGAAUAUUACAUUCCGUGAAAGCUGAACCAACAAAGAAACAUCAUUGUUCUAGCCAGUUUCCUUAUAUUAACUUUUAGGAAAACCAAGAGGUUGAUAACAAUGGCUGAUCUGCAUAUAAUGACUGCUAGUUAUUGGCUGGUAUGCAGUGAAAGGGAGCUAAAAAGGAGUAAAAAGUUCAUAUCAGCCAGGUGAGAAUUAAUUUCUUUUUUGUGUGUUAUACAUAUGUAAUUCUUUUCUUUUGCUGCUUCAAAUCUUGUGUAUUUGAAAAUUUUCAGUCUAAUAUUUUGGCAAUGUUAUAGGUAGUGUGGCUUAAAUAAACCAGUGUUAAGGAAUAUCCAGUAAUGGCAUGACAUCAUGAGAGUUUGGCAUACCGACAUUCAGAUGAUUAAUGAUGAAACUGAAGACCUCAAGUGAAAGGCAUGGAAAAUGAUCCUGUUCCCAUAUACCUGAAAAAGAGGAGGGAUGCCACAAUAUUGAUAAUAGACUUUUGUCAAUUUGAGAAGCAAAGAUGUAUAAAAAAAAAAAAAAAAAAAAAAAAAAAAAAAAAAAUAAUAAUAAUAAUGCUGAAAUUAUAAUUCAUGUAUUUGUUAAAAAUACUGUUCACUGUACAUACAUGUAUAUUUUUUUUAAACUUAUUUGGAAAUACAUGAAGUAAUUCAUAUUAAAACUGUGAAUGUA